GAUGAAGAACGCAGCGAAAUGCGAUAAGUAAUGUGAAUUGCAGAAUUCAGUGAAUCAUCGAGUCUUUGAACGCUCAUUGCGACCCCUGGUAUUCCGGGGGGCAUGCCUGUCCGAGCGUCAUUGCUGCCCUCAAGCACGGCUUGUGUGUUGGGCCGCCGUCCCCGGUUUCCCCCGGGGACGGGCCCGAAAGGCAGCGGCGGCACCGCGUCCGAUCCUCGAGCGUAUGGGGCUUUGUCACCCGCGCUGUAGGCCCGGCCGGCGCCAGCCGACACCCAACUUUAUUUCUAAGGUUGACCUCGGAUCAGGUAGGGAUACCCGCUGAACUUAAGCAUAUCAAUAAGCGGAGGA
rnacentral:misc_RNA from 1 species